rnacentral:rRNA from 1 species
AGAGUUUGAUCCUGGCUCAGAUUGAACGCUGGCGGAAUGCUUUACACAUGCAAGUCGAACGGCAGCACGGGAGCUUGCUCCUGGUGGCGAGUGGCGAACGGGUGAGUAAUAUAUCGGAACGUAUCCAAUAAUGGGGGAUAACUAGUCGAAAGAUUAGCUAAUACCGCAUACGCCCUGGGGGGGAAAGCUGGGGAUCUUCGGACCUAGCGUUAAUGGAGCGGCCGAUAUCUGAUUAGCUAGUAGGUGAGGUAAAAGCUCACCUAGGCGACGAUCAGUAGCUGGUCUGAGAGGACGACCAGCCACACUGGAACUGAGACACGGUCCAGACUCCUACGGGAGGCAGCAGUGGGGAAUUUUGGACAAUGGGCGCAAGCCUGAUCCAGCCAUUCCGCGUGAGUGAAGAAGGCCUUCGGGUUGUAAAGCUCUUUCGCAAGGGAAGAAAACUUAACCUCUAACAUAGGUUGAGGCUGACGGUACCUUGAUAAGAAGCACCGGCUAACUACGUGCCAGCAGCCGCGGUAAUACGUAGGGUGCGAGCGUUAAUCGGAAUUACUGGGCGUAAAGCGUGCGCAGGCGGCCUGAUAAGUCAGAUGUGAAAUCCCCGAGCUCAACUUGGGAACUGCGUUUGAAACUAUCAAGCUAGAAUAUGUCAGAGGGGGGUAGAAUUCCACGUGUAGCAGUGAAAUGCGUAGAGAUGUGGAGGAAUACCAAUGGCGAAGGCAGCCCCCUGGGAUAAUAUUGACGCUCAUGCACGAAAGCGUGGGGAGCAAACAGGAUUAGAUACCCUGGUAGUCC